AUUGAACGCUGGCGGCAUGCCUUACACAUGCAAGUCGAACGGCAGCAUAGGAGCUUGCUCCUGAUGGCGAGUGGCGAACGGGUGAGUAAUAUAUCGGAACGAGCCCUAGAGUGGGGGAUAACUAGUCGAAAGACUAGCUAAUACCGCAUACGAUCUACGGAUGAAAGUGGGGGAUCGCAAGACCUCAUGCUCCUGGAGCGGCCGAUAUCUGAUUAGCUAGUUGGUGGGGUAAAAGCCUACCGAGGCAACGAUCAGUAGCUGGUCUGAGAGGACGACCAGCCACACUGGGACUGAGACACGGCCCAGACUCCUACGGGAGGCAGCAGUGGGGAAUUUUGGACAAUGGGGGCAACCCUGAUCCAGCAAUGCCGCGUGAGUGAAGAAGGCCUUCGGGUUGUAAAGCUCUUUUGUCAGGGAAGAAACGGUGGUAGCUAAUAUCUACUACCAAUGACGGUACCUGAAGAAUAAGCACCGGCUAACUACGUGCCAGCCGCCGCCGUAACAC
rnacentral:rRNA from 1 species